CCUGCAGUCGGACGGCAGCGCGGGCUUCGGCCUGGCGGCGAGUGGCGAACGGGUGAGUAAGACAUCGGAACGUGUCCUGGAGUGGGGGAUAGCCCGGCGAAAGCCGGAUUAAUACCGCAUACGAUCUGAGGAUGAAAGCGGGGGACCGAAAGGCCUCGCGCUCAAGGGGCGGCCGAUGGCAGAUUAGCUAGUUGGUGGGGUAAAGGCCUACCAAGGCGACGAUCUGUAGCUGGUCUGAGAGGACGACCAGCCACACUGGGACUGAGACACGGCCCAGACUCCUACGGGAGGCAGCAGUGGGGAAUUUUGGACAAUGGGGGCAACCCUGAUCCAGCAAUGCCGCGUGUGUGAAGAAGGCCUUCGGGUUGUAAAGCACUUUUGUCCGGAAAGAAAACUUCGGGGCUAAUACCCCUGGAGGAUGACGGUACCGGAAGAAUAAGCACCGGCUAACUACGUGCCAGCAGCCGCGGUAAUACGUAGGGUGCGAGCGUUAAUCGGAAUUACUGGGCGUAAAGCGUGCGCAGGCGGUUCGCUAAGACCGAUGUGAAAUCCCCGGGCUUAACCUGGGAACUGCAUUGGUGACUGGCGGGCUAGAGUAUGGCAGAGGGGGGUAGAAUUCCACGUGUAGCAGUGAAAUGCGUAGAGAUGUGGAGGAAUACCGAUGGCGAAGGCAGCCCCCUGGGCCAAUACUGACGCUCAUGCACGAAAGCGUGGGGAGCAACAGGAUUAGAUACCCUGGUAGUCCACGCCCUAAACGAUGUCAACUGGUUGUCGGGCCUUCAUUGGCUUGGUAACGUAGCUAACGCGUGAAGUUGACCGCCUGGGGAGUACGGUCCCAAGAUUAAAACUC
rnacentral:rRNA from 1 species